UACAGAGGGGGCAAGCGUUGUUCGGAAUUACUGGGCGUAAAGGGCGCGUAGGCGGCCUGUUAAGUCGAACGUGAAAUCCCCGGGCUCAACCCGGGAACUGCGUCCGAUACUGGCAGGCUUGAAUUCGGGAGAGGGAUGCAGAAUUCCAGGUGUAGCGGUGAAAUGCGUAGAUAUCUGGAGGAAUACCGGUGGCGAAGGCGGCAUCCUGGACCGACAUUGACGCUGAUGAGCGAAAGCUAGGGGAGCAAACGGG
rnacentral:rRNA from 1 species